rnacentral:rRNA from 1 species
UACGUAGGGGGCAAGCGUUGUCCGGAUUCAUUGGGCGUAAAGAGCGUGUAGGCGGCCAGGUAGGUCGGUUGUGAAAACUGGAGGCUCAACCUUCAGAGGUCGACCGAAACCAUCUGGCUAGAGUCCGGGAGAGGAGAGUGGAAUUCCUGGUGUAGCGGUGAAAUGCGCAGAUAUCAGGAAGAACACCCGGGGCGAAAGCGGCUCUCUGGAACGGUACUGACGCUGAGACGCGAAAGCGUGGGGAGCGAACAGG